CCUACGGGAGGCAGCAGUGGGGAAUAUUGCGCAAUGGGCGAAAGCCUGACGCAGUGACGCCGCGUGAGGGAUGAAGGUCUUCGGAUCGUAAACCUCUGUCAGCAGGGAAGAACGGUCACUGUGCUAAUCAGCAGUGAAUUGACGGUACCUGCAAAGGAAGCACCGGCUAACUCCGUGCCAGCAGCCGCGGUAAUACGGAGGGUGCGAGCGUUAAUCGGAAUUACUGGGCGUAAAGCGCUCGUAGGCGGUAUGUCAAGUCAAGGGGGAAAUCCCCGCGCUCAACGUGGGAACUGCCUUUGAAACUGGCAAACUGGAGUGUGUGAGAGGAUAGUGGAAUUCCAGGUGUAGGAGUGAAAUCCGUAGAUAUCUGGAGGAACAUCAGUGGCGAAGGCGACUAUCUGGCACAUAACUGACGCUGAGGAGCGAAAGCGUGGGUAGCAAACAGGAUUAGAUACCCCAGUAGUC
rnacentral:rRNA from 1 species